GCAUCGGUGGUUCAGUGGUAGAAUCUCGCCUGCCACGCGGGAGGCCCGGGUUGGGUUCGAUUCCCGGCCGAUGCA